UACGUAGGGUGCAAGCGUUAAUCGGAAUUACUGGGCGUAAAGCGUGCGCAGGCGGUGAUGUAAGACAGUUGUGAAAUCCCCGGGCUUAACCUGGGAACUGCAUUUGUGACUGCAUAGCUAGAGUACGGUAGGAGGGGGAUGGAAUUCCGCGUGUAGCAGUGAAAAUGCGUAGAUAUGCGGAGGAACACCGAUGGCGAAGGCAAUCCCCUGGACCUGUACUGACGCUCAUGCACGAAAAGCGUGGGGGA
rnacentral:rRNA from 1 species